GCCCUGAUGGUGGAACCGGUCAGACACAGGGACCUUAAAAGUCCCCGGCCACGCGGCCGUGCGGGUUCGACUCCCGCUCAGGGCA
rnacentral:tRNA from 1 species